rnacentral:lncRNA from 10 species
AUGGCAGAGCACAGGUACAGCUUCUUGCUGACUACACUCAGCCCAUCUGGUACACUUGUCCACACUGAAUAUGCUUUAGCUGCUGUAGUGGGAGGAGCCCCUUCAGUGGGAAUUACAGCUGCAAAUGGUGUGGUAUUAGCACUGAGAAGACACAGAAAUCCAUUCUGUAUGAUGAGCAAAGUGCACACAAAGUAGAACCCAUUACCAAGCGUAGCGGUUUGGUGCACGGUGGUGCGGAUCCAGAUCAGAGUGCUUGUGCAUGGAAUUCAAAAACAGCUCAGCAAUACUGUAAUAUCUCCGUACCAAGAACCCAUUUCCAUAGCUUGGCUGGUACGGAAAGUAGUUUCUGUAACCCAAGAAUACACUCACUCAAGUGGUGUUUGUCCAUUUGGAGUUGAUUUAUCUGUGGUUGGAAUGAGGGAUGACCAUGUUUAUUUCAGUCAGAUCCAUCCAGAGCUUACUUUGCUGGAAAACCACAGCAAAGAACUAUGUGAAUGGGAAAAUGCUGAGAAAAGAUAUAAUGAAAAUCUGGAACUUGAAGAUGCAUUCAUAUAGCUGUAUUAACACCUCAAGGAAAGCUUUGAAGGGCAAAUGACAGAGGAUAACAUAGAAGUUGGAAUCUGCAAUGAAGCUGAUUUGGGAGGAUUACUCCAACUGAAGUUAAGGAUUACUUGGCUGUCAUAGCA